ACUGACCAAAGACCAGAAUCUGUGGAUGUUCAAGAUCUCAUUGAUAAGCCUUUCGAGACUCUUGAGCAGCUGAAGGCCUUCUGUGAACGGCUCGACACUGAUCUUCUGCUCAGAAAGCAGCUGGUAAUUAGUUUUAAUUCCCCACUGCAAAAAUAUCUUGCUCAGUUAUCAAAAAACAAUUUCUAAUCAAGUACAAUAUUGUUGUUUAUUUAUUUGUAUAGGUGAAAGCUCUUACUGCUCUUGGUGGGCAGAAUUUGGCAGACACGGUGAGGACAAUGCUGAGGAAAAUUGCCACAAACAAAGUCCUGGAGCAGCUUGGCCUCCGUGGAAAGUCAGGAAAAGUGGCGUUUGAGGACUUGCCCCUUUACAGAAUAAUAAAUAAGGCAUGCAGGGGUGUUUACAAGCAGACGACCACAGCUGAAGUGGAUUGUGAGCUUGGAGAGGUCCUGAAACUGGCCACUUUUCGAAAGGGAGGUUCAAAAUUUGAGGAGAAGAGGAGGAAUUAAGAGGGAGGACAAAAAAGGAAAAAGAAACAAGCAAAAGAACAGAGUGAGAUGAGAGGAUUUGGGUUUCACUGCUUGGGCUGCUGCCCCCGCGACCUGACCUCAGAUAAGCGGAAGAAGAUGGAUGGAUGGAUGGAUGGAUUUACUUCCAGGAAGAGAACCAAGAAGGGGCAGGAUACACUGACGCGCACGACCAAGACCACUGCAUUCCAUUCCAUUUGUAUUAUAGUUAUCACUAAUAAAGAAUUAUUU